CCUACGGGUGGCAGCAGUGAGGAAUAUUGGUCAAUGGGCGCGAGCCUGACCCAGCCAAGUAGCGUGAAGGAUGACUGCCCUACGGGUUGUAAACUUCUUUUUUAAAGGAGUAAAGUGAGGCACGUGUGCCUUUUUGUAUGUACUUUAUGAAUAAGGAUCGGCUAACUCCGUGCCAGCAGCCGCGGUAAUACGGAGGAUCCGCGCGUUAUCCGGAUUUAUUGGGUGUAAAGGGAGCGUAGAUGGGUUGUUAAGUCAGUUGUGAAAGUUUGCGGCUCAACCGUAACACUGCAAUUGAUACUGGGAGACUUGAGUACAGUAGAGGUAGGCGGAAUUCGUGGUGUAGCGGUGAAAUGCUUAGAUAUCACGAAGAACUCCGAUUGCGAAGGCAGCUUACUAAACUGCAACUGACAUUGAUGCUCGAAAGUGUGGGUAUCAAACAGGAUUAGAUACCCCGGUAGUC
rnacentral:rRNA from 1 species